UAAACCAGAAGGCCUAGAUCUUAGAUAUUUGAUAACAUUGCCUAGUAGACUUCUACAAACUUUAUUCAAACCAUGAUCCCCGGGUUAAAAUUGGCCCCGCCCCAGGGGUCACUUGAUUUUACAUAGGAAAAUCUUCAAAAAUUUUCUAAAAAAUAAACCAGAAGGCCUAGAGCUUAGAUAUUUCACAUGUAGCAUUGACUAGUGAACCUCUACAAAAUUAUUCAAAUCUUGACCCCCGGGAUCAAAUUGACCCCGCCCCAUGGGUUACUUGAUUGUACAUAGAAAAAUCUUCAAAAAUUUCUAAAAAUAAAUCAGAAGGCAUAGAGCUCUACAAAAUUUGUUCAAAUCAUGACCCCCAGGGUCAAAAAUGACCCCGCCCCAGGGGUCACUCGAUUUUACAUAGGAAAAUCUUCAAAAAAAUUCUAAAAAUAAACCAGAAGGCCUAGAUCUUAGAGUUUUGACAUGUAGCAUUGCCUGGUAGACUUCUACAAAAUUUAUUCAAAUCAUGGCCCCCAAGAGUCAAAUUGACCCAGCCCCUGGGGUUACUUUAUUGUACAUAGAGAAAAACUUCAUAAAUUUGCUAAAAAUAAACCAGAAGGCCUAGAUCUUAUAUAUUUGAUACGUAACAUUGCCUUGUAGACUUCUACAAAAUUUGUUCAAAUCAUGACCUCCGGGAUAAAAUUGGCCCCGCCCCAGAGGUUACUUGAUUGUACAGCGGAAAAUCUUCCAAAACAUUUCUAAAAAUCAUCAGUUUGACAUUUGAAACAUGUAGCUCAUAUUUCUCAGGUGAGCGAUCCAAGGUCAUCAUGACCCUCUUGUUCUUACACGUGGCAACACUUUGAUAUAUUUGUUUCUCUUUUUACACAUGCCUCUCUGUAUGCAACAGGGUCACCAUGGGAACGUACCGCCACAAACACAUUUAUAGACAAUGACCGACAUUCAGAUGAGCAGAUUUUAGAGCGUAUGCAGUUAGUACAUGUAUGUCUAAUUUUUCCUUUAUGUGGGUUACCAUGGAAACGUACCUCAAUAUCUAGGCAAUGGUAUAUUGGAUGAGCAAUGUUCAGAUGUACGAAGUCAUACAGCAGUUUUUACAGCAUAUAAGGUGUGUAUGUUUACUUUUUCUUUUUUUGUGCUGUAACUUUGAUGUAUGUGUUUUUCAUUUUACACAUGCGCCUCUGUAUCUAUAAACACAACAGGAUUACCAUGGAAACCAACAUCUACAUCUAGGCAAAGGUAUAAAUGGAUGACGACGUCCAAAUCUACAAACAGCAGUGAGAGAAAUCCUGCAACCGAUAACGAUCACGUGACAAACGCAUAACUUUAGUCUAAGCUUUGCUAGCCUAGGAUCCGUAAAUGAAUUUAGGCAAAACUUGAAUAUAAACAAACAUCUGGAUAAUAUGUGCGGUUAUUGAAAACUCAAUCUACCUUGCAUGUGUUUUGCUGCGUAAUUCUUGGUGUUCGGUGUUUGCUGUUUUGUCAGGGAUUUGUUUGGCUAUUUGAUGGUGUUUGUAGUGGUUUUUGGUGUUUGUUGUGGUGUUUGUGGUGGUGUUUUGGUGUUUGUUGUGUUUUUGGUGUCUUCCAUGUGGUCUUCUCGGUUGUAUUCGAUCAUGUUUGUGUUGUUUUGUUACAAUGGGCAUUUAGUGCGAAUUGUAUGUCGCAUUUGGUUCUUCAUCGUUCGUUCCGUUACAAGGUGAAUUUCUUUUUGCCAUUAGCAAUGCAUUAUAACUAGAUUUGUUCAUGUACACAAAAUUAAUCGAAUAAGUUAAAUAUUGCGUUGUGUGUGUGUGUGUUUUUGUUGUUGUUUUUUUUGUUGUUGUUUUUUUUUUAACUUUCCCAUCAGUUUUAGAUAGCUGCAGAGACAUACCAUGAAGAAUGCAGACGACAGAUAUAUGGUGCAGACGACAUCUCGGUAAGUUCUGUUUUAUUUCUGUUGUUUAUUCUUUUCGUUUUGUACUGUUGUUUUGUUUUUUUUCUACCAGAAUGUCGGAGUACUUGGAGAAUAAAGACGCAGACAGAUAUGGGGACGCAGACGGACAUGAAGAUGCAGCCCAAACAAAAUGUGCGCUUCAUUAUCGCGAUUAGGUAUGUAUAUUGCUUCUUAUACUGUCCUAUUUUGCAUGCAUUUCUCUGCAGACUUCCAAAAUGGUGGAUGAUGUUGACUAGAAGCACGUGUGAAUAUAUCUUUUGUAGAUAUCAUGUAAUGGUUCAGUGGAUGGUGAAGCUAUGGUGUUUGAUAUUGACUACAAGCUCGUACACGGAUGUCAUGUUGUAGGUUUCACAGAGGGUAAAUGGACGGUGCAGCAAUGGUGGGUUAUGUUGACACUUUCAUAUGUUUGUUUGUUUUUUUGUGUGUGUUUUUUUCACAUGCAUUUCUGUAUCUAUACUCUUUACAGGGUCACCAUGGAAAUGUACCUCUACAUCUAGGCAAUGGUACAAUGGAUGACCGGCGUUCUGAUGCACACAAAUAUAUAUAGCAGAUUUUGGAGCGUAUAGGUAAACAGUAUGAUGUGUUUCUGUUUUUGCACAUACCUUUCUGUAUUUAUACACUCAAUCUCAACAUGGUUACCAUGGAAAUGUACCUCUACAUCUAGGCAAUGGUAUUCUGGAUGACCGACGUUCAGAUGCACACAAUUAUAGCAGAUUUUUGAGCGUAUAGGGUGUGUAUGUUUACAGCUCGUUUUCGUAAACAUCAUGUUUGUAAACAUUAAAGAUUGCGUUUUGUAACCUUAACUCGGCGUUCCAUAUUUUAGCGGCUCUUGUAUAAGAAAAAUGUGAGCUCAAGCUAAAACAAAACAUAAUCAAUAAGCAGAAAGGUCAUUUUGUAAGUAGAGAAAUUUUAGUUUGAAAACGUGUAAACACGUAUGACCUAUUAAUCGAACUGUACUUUUCAUUUCUUGCUUAAACAGUAUGAUAUGUUACUGUUUUUGCAAAUACCUUUCUGUAUUUAUACAUUCAACCUCAACAGGGUUAUUAUGGAAACGUACCUAGGCAAUAGUAUAAAUGGGUGGCUGGCGUUUGGAUGUACAAAAACACACAGCAGAUUUUGGAUCAUAUAGGAAUGCUGGGGUAUGCAUACUUGAAGAAAAAAGAUGCAGACGGUCAUGGAGAUGCAGACCAAGCAAAAUGUGCGUUUCUCUUUAUGAUGAACAGACAAUGCAAUGGUUUAGUGGAUGGUGCAGCUAUGGUACAUGAUAUUGACUACAAGCACGUGAGUGGAUGUCAUGUUGUAGAUUUCACAGUGGUUAAGUGGAUGCUGCAACUUGAUCCUUUUUCUGAGGUAUGUAAUUUUUCUGACAGGUACAAUUAGAUUAUUUCGUUUGAUUGUUUUUUUUUUGCAGUUUUCAUCCCGCAAGUUACGCACAUACAUUUUCAUUUUAAUAAAUUUUCUAUAAAUUUAUAUUUUCUGGUUAUCGUGUGGGCGGACAUGAUUUUAAUUCUUUUUUUUUUAAUUUUUAACUCAUUACUGUUAAUUGUUAGAUAAUGACUACCAGUAUUCAGUUAAGCAGUGCAUAACUUUAAACCUUUAGAAAGCAAAGAACUAUUUUUCUCGUAGUAAUUCUGGAGCGUAGGUAUGUGCAUUCAACUUCUGGCUAUAGUGACAGUAAAACUCGAAGUAUCGGACAAGAAACUCAAAACUAUUCGAUGAGAAACCCAGGCUAUCAGACGAGGAACCCGAACUAUCCGACAAGAAGCAGUUUCCUGUACCAUACACGAAGAAAAAUUUAGUUGAUGGAACUGCAGUUGUCGUAGAAUUGCCUUGCUGGUACUAAAAAGAUGCCGAUAACCAGAGGGGCACUGGUAACCAAUCGAUGUCGCUCAUCAGAGGUGUUCUGGAACUCUUAUGUCAAAAUAGUAAUCAACUGUUCUCGACAAGCAGACGGCACUUGCUGCUUCUAUCAGAUGACGCCAGUGGCGGAAGAAGGGACCCCCGAUGCCUGGAGUAACUGUGCAGUAUAACAUUUUGCACUGUUUGAUUGGGCAAGAUAGAGUGGUUUUAGUGGAAUUCAGCCCUUGAUGGACAUAUCGUCUGUAUUUGCCCUGUCCUGGUGAUGGUAGAGAGCUCUUUCACAACUCGUGCGCAUAUCAGAAUCCGCGAGGUAGGCGACGAAUUUAUUCAGGUUUAAAAUGACAGGAAGACAGUGUUUUACAUUGUUGAAAGAAAAAGAAUCGAUUCCAGAACGUGCCGUCCUGUGUUUGUUGUUUUCGACAAUUGAGGGGAGAGUCCGGUGCAUGCCAGAUACUAUCUAUUGAUUUUGAACACUCUAGUGAGAAAUAUAUGCAGAUGGAAGAACCAAGUAUGAUAAAUCCAAGACAGACCUGGCACAAGCAUAUAGCAUGACACCACUACAGCCGCCAUGACAAAAGCAUAGUUAAACAAAUUAGACAUAAGCUAACAUUUAUAUAAUUAUACCCCAACGUACAAAGUAUAUUGGGCUAUGUUGGAGUCACGCAUGUCCAGUCCAUCCGUUCAUUUGUCCACCAUGGCCGCUGGGAUGAUUUUUAUAAAACUGACAUAAAUUAUAAACCACAUCAAGACGAUGUACAGAGCGCUCAACCUAGGUCACAAGGCCAAAGGUCAAGGUUACUCGUGGAGGUCAAAGGUCAAAUAGCUUAGCUUCAUGUCCGCUCUAUAUUGUCUAAACGGCUUUGAAAAUAUUUAUCUCGACUGUUUGAAGAAUAAGGAAGAUUACUGUACUUUCCUUGGCGUCUGUGUCACUGUUACUGUUGCAUUGAAAGUUAAAAUUUUAGGACAUGUGCAGGCUUCUCAGUGUCACUAUAUCUUCUUACUACUGCCCUUAUUAACAUCAAACUUCACAUAAGUGUUGGUCUUGAUAAGGGAAAUACAUCUACAUGUAUUAGUUUAGGAACAAGUAUCCUAAAUGUCGAAGUCACUGGCUUAAAUAUUGUGAUAGUGCUGGUUAAAGUUUCAUGGUAAGCUUCUCAGUUUCCCAAUAUAAUCUCACAUAAAGAUUGAUCUUAGAACGUGGCAGAAAUCUUUUUGUUUAGGGUCAGGUUGCUCAGAGGUCAAGGUUACUGGGGUCAGAUUUUAUAACAGUGUUGGUUAAAGUCUUGUGGCACAUUUCUCAAUUUGACUUAUAUCUCAUAAUGUUUCCUAGAACUGGUAUCCCUCAUGUUCUAUCCUUUUUAGCUCGACUAUACGAAGUAUAAGGAGAGCUAUCCUACUCGCCCCAGCGUCGGCGUCGGCGUCUUUCCGCGUCCCCACCUUGGUUAAAGUUUUGGUGCACUUUCUCUUUUUUCAACUUAUCUCUGUAAUUACUUGAUGGAUUUGAUUCAAACUUGAAAUACUUAUUCCUCAUCAUCAUCCACAUCAUCUGACAUAAGGGCCAUAAGUCUGGCACCAAUAUUUCAUGAAUUAUCCCCCCUUUUCACUUAGAUUUUCAGGUUAAAGUUUUGAUGCACUUUCACUCUAUCUCUGUUAUUACUGAAUGGAUUUGAUUCAAACUUAAACUAGUUGUUCAACAUCAUCACACACAUCAUAUGACACAAGGUGCAUAACUCUGGUAGCAUUUUUUCAUUAAUUAUUCCCCCUUUUUACUUAGAAUUUCAGGUUAAAGUUUUGGUGCACUUUCACUCUACCUCUGUUAUUACUGAAUGGAUUUGAUUCAAACUUAAACAAUUGUUCAACAUCAUUACCCUUAUCAUAUGACACAAGGUGCAUAACUCUGGCACAAUUUUUCAUGAAUUAUUCCCGUUUUUACUUAGAAUUUCAGGUUAAAGUUUUAUGCACUUUCACUCUAUCUCUGUUAUUACUGAAUGGAUCUGAUUCAAACUUAAACAAUUGUUCAACAUCAUUACCCUUAUCAUAUGACACAAGGUGCAAAACUCUGGCACCAAUUUUUCAUGAAUUAUUUCCCCUUUUUACUUAGAAUUUUAGGUUUUGAUGCACUUUCACUCUGUCUCUGUUAUUACUGAAUGGAUUUGAUUCAAACUUAAAAUAGUUGUUCAACAUUAUCACCCACACCAUAUGACACAAGGUGCAUAACUCUGGCACCAAUUUUUAAUUAAUUAUUCCCCCUUUUUACUUAGAAUUUUAGGUUAAAGUUUUGAUGCACUUUCACUCUGGCACCAAUGUUUAAUGAAUUAUGCCCCUUUUGCUUAGGAUAUACUUAUAUAGUGUUUUGAUACAUUUUAUCUUUACCUCUCUUAUUACUUCAAGUUGAUAUUUUUGACAUAGACCCAGGCUAUUGUGCAAUAUCUUCAUCCACAAUUGGAGUCAUUAAACCCUCCAGUGCAGCUCUAGUUUCCUCAGAUGUGCCCAGUUUCACUAUCCAGCAUCGAAAUAGUCGAGCGCGCUGUCUCCUGUGACAGCUUUUGUUAGCUAUACCCACACUUCAUCUACGUUCCUCCAGACACCCACCCAAAAAUGCGUUCCAUACAAAAACUUAUAUUUCAUGUUUCCAUCAACUCCCCUACUCCGCUGUCUUCACCUGCCUCCUCCACCCCAUUUCACCGAACCUUUACCCUCGCCCCUAACCGCCGCCCCCUCCAUAAAAAGGAUAAAAACUCCUUUUCGAUCUCCCACACUUAUUAUAAUAAUAACAAUAUCUUGUUAAACAUUUUCUUCAUAGUCGAGCAGACACAAUUAACUCAGAUCACUAGGUCCAAGGUCAAGGUCACACCUAAAAAUCAAAAGUCAUGAUGACAACAUUUUACUUUCCCUUUAUCAAAGUGAGGUCUGGGGGUAUCAAUCGAAUUCAGUGGUAGCCUUAGUUGAUCAGGUGUUAGUGACAUAAAUGUGCAUUAUUUGCUUUAUUGUGGGGAGGGGGGUGGGUAUAGGAAUGGUCUCCGUCCGUCUGUCCGUCCGUCUGCUCGUCCGUAACACUUCCGUGUCUGGUCCAUAUGUCCUAAACCCCUUGAAGGAUUUUCAUGAAACUUGGUCAAAUGAUCACAUCAAGACGAUGUGCAAAACUUAUGACUUUGCCAUGUCGGCUCAAGGUCAAGGUCACAACUCAAGGUCAAAGGUUUUAGCCUUCCAUUUCGUGUCCGCUCUGUAUCUCCUAAACUCUUGAAGGAAUUUUAUAAAACUCGGGUCAAAUGAUCACCUCAUCAAGAGGAUGCCGGCUCAAGGUCAAGGUCACAACAAGGGUUAAAGGUUUGAGCCUUCCAUUUUGCGUCCGCUUUGUAUCUCCUAAACCCCUUGAAAGAUUUUCAUGAAACUUGGGUCAAAUUAUCACUUCAUCAAGACGAUGUGUAGAACUCUUGAAUCAGCCAUGUUGGCUCAAGGUCAAGGCUGCAACUUGGGAUCAAAGGUUUGAGCCUUUCAUUGUGUUUCCGCUCUGUAUCUCCUAAACCCCUUGAAGGAUUUUCAUGAAACCUGGGUCAAAUGAUCACCUCAUCAAGUUGAUGUGCAGACCCUAUGAGUUAGCCAUGCCGGCUCAAGGUCAAGUUCGUAAAGGUUUGAGUCUUCCAUUUUGUGUCCGCUCUGUAUCUCCUAAACCCUUGAAGGAUUUUCAUUAAACAUGGGCCAAAUGAUUACCACAUCAAGAACUCAUGAUUUAGCUAUGUGAACUCAAGGUCAAGGUCACAACUCAAGGUCAAAGGUUUGAGCUCUGUAUCUCCUAAACCCCUUGAAAGAUUUUCAUGAAACUUUGGUCAAAUGAUCAACUCAUCAAGAUGAUGUGCAGAAUUCAUAAGUCAGUCAUGUCAGUACAAGGUUAAGGUCACAGUUCAAGGUCAAAUGUUCAAGUUACCCUUUCACUUUCCAUAACAGUGGCGGGGUUUUUAGCUGUCUUUCAGGCUGCCAUGUAAUAAUUGAUUUUAGGACAUGAGAUAUUUGUUUGUUUCAGUGUAAGAUCGAUCAAAUCAUUCUAUAUACAUCUUGCGAAAAUGUAAACUCUAGUGUUCAGGCGUGAAAAAUAAUCGAUUUUACUAUAAAUCAAAGAAAUAUUAUAUUAUGUAGUUAAAUGUAUCUGUACUAUAAAUCAAAGAAAAUUUAUAUUAUGCAAUUAAAUAUAUGUGUACUAUAAAUCAAAGAAAUUUUAUAUUAUGCAAUUAAAUAUAUGUGUACUAUAAAUCAAAGAAAUUUUAUAUUAUGCAAUUAAUUAUAUGUGUACUAAAUUGUACACAUUUUACAAGUAUAACAUUUCACCAAACGUGCAACGAUACGCCUAAAAUUAUGGCAAUAUAUAUGUUGGAAAAAGUUAUAUAGUUCUACUAGAUUGAUUUCUUUUACAUUUUAAUAUAAUUAUUUUUUAAUAUUUUUUCUUCUAUAAAAACAAUCAGAUUUUAUAUAAUUCAUAUUCUUUCGCGUUAAAUUGAUGUUGCGUGCAAGUGAAAACUGUAUUUGGAUUUCUUACUUCUGAAACAGUGGGUUUAUCAGGGUAUAAUCUAUCGUUAUAUUUCAACAAUAUCUGAAAACUUGGCAAGAAAUUCAAUAAAACUACAAAAUGUAGCGAUAAAAUCAUAGCUCUUUUAUUUAUUCAAACACACUUUCUACUGCACUUUGUUUGGUUGGUAUUAAUGUAGCUUUUAAAAGUAAUUUUAGCCUCAUUUCUUGUUCACUGAAUUUUACACUGUUUGGUAUAACUCUUAAUCGACGCCUAACUUUAUGCACUAACAUUAACUCUUGCGGCUAAAAUGACUUUUAAAGCAACUCUGUCUAUUAUCAGUAACAAUGUAUUAAACAGGUAAAUCUUUAGGAACGAUGUGUAGAAAGAUUAGCUGAUCAAAUAUUUAGUAGAAUUGUUGGCAAACUUUUAGGUUUUUAGUCCUCGCUUUAAAUAAUUACUGGAAUAUAAUGUUAGAUUAUAACAUGAUAAACUCA